rnacentral:misc_RNA from 1 species
UGAAACUUGCAGUGUGUAUAUUUGUAAUCCAAGCCCUAAUAUCUAAUAUUCCGCUGACCUGUAAAAUGGGUCAGUUUGCUCUUUACAAAUUUCUGCUUACAAUCUUCCUCCUCUUCUCAAUUUCCAAAUCACUGCCCACCGGGAAUGAACGUAGCACCUACAUCAUCCACAUGGACAAAUCAGCAAUGCCAGCUCCCUUCUCUACACACCAUGAUUGGUACACGUCAACUCUAUCAUCCCUGUCAUCACCAGAUGGCAUUUCCCCUGUCCAUCUCUACUCCUACAAGCAUGUGAUGGAUGGUUUCAGUGCUGUACUCUCACAAACCCACCUUAAUCAACUGGAAAAAUUACCUGGUCAUGUUUCUACCUUCCCGGAAUCAUAUGGCCAUCUCCAUACUACCCACACCCCAAAAUUUCUAGGCCUGAACAAACACUCUGGAUUGUGGCCAGAAGGCAAGUUUGGCGAUG